AGCAGCCGCGGUAAUUCCAGCUCCAAUAGCGUAUAUUAAAGUUGUUGCAGUUAAAAAGCUCGUAGUUGAAUUUCGGAAUCAGUAUGUUGGUCGUGCUUCGGUACGUACUGUCAUUACUGGUUUCUACCUUCUGAAGAACCUUGAUGUCAUUAAUUUGGUGUCUUGGGGAAUCAGGACUGUUACUUUGAAAAAAUUAGAGUGUUUAAAGCAAGCAUACGCUUGAAUACAUUAGCAUGGAAUAAUGAAAUAGGACGUUUGAUUCUAUUUUGUUGGUUUCUAGGAUCGACGUAGUGAUUAAUAGGGAUAGUUGGGGGCAUUAGUAUUCAAUUGUCAGAGGUGAAAUUCUUGGAUUUAUUGAAGACUAACUACUGCGAAAGCAUUUGCCAAGGAUGUUUUCAUUAAUCAAGAACGAAAGUUAGGGGAUCGAAGACGAUCAGAUACCGUCGUAGUCUUAACCAUAAACUAUGCCGACUAGGGAUCGGAUGAUGUUAAUUUUUAAUGACUCAUUCGGCGCCUUAAC
rnacentral:rRNA from 1 species